UUUCCUUUGUUUUUCAUUCUUCCCUUUCAAUUACUCUAAACAUGUUUUGGUUUGUCGGAAACAGAUAUGAAGCGUUGGAUUGUUUUUGUUUUUGGUCAAUUUGCUUUGUUUAUUGAGAAAUUUUCUCCCAUUCUAUUUGUUACUAUUAUUAAGGGUUUAGGGCAAGUUUUUGUUGAUAUCUUUAUUUUUAUUGGCAAGUUUGUUUGUAAGCUUGCCAGGAUUGUUGAUUUCUAGCAGUCACAUAAACUAGUAAAUGAAUGUGUUAUUGUAUGAGUAGUAAUUCUCUUCCCGAUGUUGGAACUUGGAAGAGGCCUCAAGUUCGAACCCCCUUUCCUUGUUGAUCAGUUUAGUUUGUCGUUAUUGGAUACAUAGAAUAUAGUGAAGACUUGACGAUGGGACAACAUGAAUUACAUGGUGUUGGUCCUAUGCCAAGCUUAACAAACACAACAGUAGUGUAAAAAUAUUCCUCCAAAGCAAAAAUGGUAGGGUUUUCGGAAUGUGCCUUCCUAUCCAAGAUAUGGAUUGCUCCUCCUUGACGCUACCAUUUGCUGAGUUCCUUUUUAGAUUCUCUAAAUAUCUAGCUACAAAGUAGAGAAUAUAUAAUGUAGCAUCCCUAGGGCUAGGGCCUAAGCCUUUAGCUUUUGGCAGUCAAACAAAAUGAAGGGAAUGGGAAUCAAAUUACUUACAUGCUUCUUCUUCAUCUUAUGCACUUAUGCCCCUUCAACCUUGCCUUGCACAAGCGUCUUCAAGUUAGAACACGAACAUGGUGUACAAUGAUGCGUGCUGGUGCGGGUGGCUCAGUCAAUCUGUAUGGAGAAAAACAUGAAACGGAUGAUUCGAGGAAGAACCAAAGAGGGAAAAGGGGAAAUGGCCGUGUGGAUUUUGUUCAUCGGCACCCAACAGACAAUAGUAGCGCAACACCGGUGCUAGCAAGGUCCCAGCAGCCCUUUCUCCUCACUAAAACCAUACUGCAAGUAACCUCUGCUUUGAUUCUUGUUCUUCCCUUUCAAUUGUUUUGACAUGUUACGAUCCAUCAGAGACAUAUACUGAAUAUGCAGGUUUGGUGUGUUUUUGUUUGGUCAAUAAGCUUUGCUUUGUUAAUUGGGAAUUUUUCUCACAUUUUCUUUGGUGUUUUCCUGUUAAUCCUAUCUGUUGUAAUUAAGCUUGUAAGUAGAUGUGUGCUGAUAUCUGUUAUUUUUUGUUGGUAAGUUCUCAGAAAUUGUUUGUAAGCUUGUACCAGGAUUGUUGUGCUAUAUAUUCAUUUAAUCUCUCUCUGAAACAGGACUUCAACAUUUUUGCCUCUUCCGCAAAUUCAGAAAAAAAUUGAGCUCCUUAAUCCUAAACCAAAGAACCGAAAAGAUAUGCGACGAUCAAUAGCACGAAACAUGGUAAAUGUAUAUGACUAGAGCGAGAUCACACCAGUAAAAAAUAAAACAAAAACAGAUCUUUAGGUUCUGCAUAUAUGAUUCUGAAUUUUCGAGAACUUAUAUAGCUUCAACACAGACAAUUAUCCUUCGCGCAACCAAAGAGAUAUAACAAAAUUAAACAUUAUGUAAAUUUAGUAUCAAUGCGUAAUACAAUUGUUGUCAAAGUCCUUAGAUGCGUACAACUUAUGUUCUAUAUCAGGUCGAGCAAAUAGUCAACCGACAAAAGUAUACCCAAUGGCAUUAACCAUGUAUGAG